rnacentral:miRNA from 1 species
AAAAUUUCUUGUCUCUCUCUGU